rnacentral:ribozyme from 14 species
UGUCUCCGUGGGUGAAAGCUCCCUAAGCUGGCGGAGAGUAUUCGAUCGGCGCGGUGAUUGAUGUGAUCAUGCCGACUGGGUUCCCAUUGGUGGCCCAGAAAAGUUGCUGAGCUGAAUGCCAAGGCGAACAG